rnacentral:misc_RNA from 1 species
GAUGAAGAACGUAGCGAAAUGCGAUAAGUAAUGCGAAUUGCAGAAUUUCCGUGAAUCAUCGAAUCUUUGAACGCACAUUGCGCCCGCCAGUAUUCUGGCGGGCAUGCCUGUUCGAGCGUCAUUUCAACCCUCAAGCACAGCUUGGUGUUGGGACUCGCGUUAAUUCGCGUUCCCCAAAUUGAUUGGCGGUCACGUCGAGCUUCCAUAGCGUAGUAGUAAAACCCUCGUUACUGGUAAUCGUCGCGGCCACGCCGUUAAACCCCAACUUCUGAAUGUUGACCUCGGAUCAGGUAGGAAUACCCGCUGAACUUAAGCAUAUCAAUAAGCGGAGGA